GUAAUAACUAGUCAGACGGGAGAGAGAGAGCAAGGUAAUAACUAGACAGAGACGGGAGAGAGAGAGCAAGGUAAAAACUAGACAGAGACGGGAGACAGAGAGCAAGGUAAAUACUAGACAGAGAGCAAGGUAAUAACUAGACAGAGAUCAAGGUAAAAACUAGACAUAGACGGGAGAGAGAGAGCAAGGUAAAAACUAGACAGAGACGGGAGACAGAGAACAAGGUAAUAACUAGACAGAGACGGGAGACAGAGAACAAGGUAAUAACUAGACAGAGAGCAAGGUAAUAACUAGACAGAGAGCAAGGUAAUAACUAGACAGAGAGCAAGGUAAUAACUAGACAGAGACGGGAGACAGAGAGCAAGGUAAUAACUAGACAGAGAGCAAGGUAAUAACUAGACAGAGACGGGAGACAGAAAGCAAGGUAAUAACUAGACAGAGAGCAAGGUAAUAACUAGACAGAGACGGGAGACAGAGAGCAAGGUAAUAACUAGACAGAGAGCAAGGUAAUAACUAGACAGAGACGGGAGACAGAGAGCAAGGUAAAAACUAGACAGAGAGCAAGGUAAUAACUAGACAGAGAGCAAGGUAAUAACUAGACAGAGAGCAAGGUAAUAACUAGACAGAGAGCAAGGUAAUAACUAGACAGAGACGGGAGACAGAGAGCAAGGUAAUAACUAGACAGAGAGCAAGGUAAUAACUAGACAGAGCCGGGAGAGAGAGAGCAAGGUAAUAACUAGACAGAGAGCAAGGUAAUAACUAGACAGAGACGGGAGACAGAAAGCAAGGUAAUAACUAGACAGAGACGGGAGACAGAGAGCAAGGUAAAACUAGACAGAGAUCAAGGUAAUAACUAGUCAGACGGGAGAGAGAGAGCAAGGUAAAUACUAGACAUAGACGGGAGAGAGAGAGCAAGGUAAAAACUAGACAGAGACGGGAGACAGAGAACAAGGUAAUAACUAGACAGAGAGCAAGGUAAUAACUAGACAGAGAGCAAGGUAAUAACUAGACAGAGACGGGAGACAGAGAGCAAGGAAAAA